rnacentral:rRNA from 1 species
CGGCUAACUCCGUGCCAGCAGCCGCGGUAAUACGGAGGGUGCGAGCGUUAAUCGGAAUUACUGGGCGUAAAGGGCACGCAGGCGGUUAAUUAAGUUGGAUGUGAAAUCCCCGGGCUUAACCUGGGAAUGGCAUUCAAGACUGGUUAGCUAGAGUCUUGUAGAGGGGGGUAGAAUUCCAUGUGUAGUGGUGAAAUGCGUAGAGAUGUGGAGGAAUACCGGUGGCGAAGGCGGCUCCCUGGACAAAGACUGACGCUCAUGUGCGAAAGCGUGGGGAGCAAACAGGAUUAGAUACCCUGGUAGUCCACGCUGUAAACGAUGUCGAUUUGGAGGUUGUGGUCAUAAACUGUGGCCUCCGGAGCUAACGCGUUAAAUCGACCGCCUGGGGAGUACGGCCGCAAGGUUAAAACUCAAAUGAAUUGACGGGGGCCCGCACAAGCGGUGGAGCAUGUGGUUUAAUUCGAUGCAACGCGAAGAACCUUACCUACUCUUGACAUCCAGCGAAUCCUUUAGAGAUAGAGGAGUGCCUUCGGGAGCGCUGAGACAGGUGCUGCAUGGCUGUCGUCAGCUCGUGUUGUGAAAUGUUGGGUUAAGUCCCGCAACGAGCGCAACCCUUAUCCUUUGUUGCCAGCG